rnacentral:rRNA from 1 species
UGGAUCCAGACUUUGAUUAUGGCUCAGGACGAACCCUGGCGGCGCGCCUAACACAUGCAAGUCGAACGAGAGAGAGGAAGCUUGCUUCCUCGAUCGAGUGGCGAACGGGUGAGUAACGCGUGAGGAACCUGCCUCAAAGAGGGGGACAACAGUUGGAAACGACUGCUAAUACCGCAUAAGCCCACGGCUCGGCAUCGAGCAGAGGGAAAAGGAGCAAUCCGCUUUGAGAUGGCCUCGCGUCCGAUUAGCUAGUUGGUGAGGUAAUGGCCCACCAAGGCAACGAUCGGUAGCCGGACUGAGAGGUUGAACGGCCACAUUGGGACUGAGACACGGCCCAGACUCCUACGGGAGGCAGCAGUGGGGAAUAUUGCACAAUGGGGGAAACCCUGAUGCAGCGACGCCGCGUGGAGGAAGAAGGUCUUCGGAUUGUAAGCUCCUGUUGUUGAGGAAGAUAAUGACGGUACUCAACAAGGAAGUGACGGCUAACUACGUGCCAGCAGCCGCGGUAAAACGUAGGUCACAAGCGUUGUCCGGAAUUACUGGGUGUAAAGGGAGCGCAGGCGGGCGAUCAAGUUGGAAGUGAAAUCCAUGGGCUCAACCCAUGAACUGCUUUCAAAACUGAUUGUCUUGAGUAGUGCAGAGGUAGGCGGAAUUCCCGGUGUAGCGGUGGAAUGCGUAGAUAUCGGGAGGAACACCAGUGGCGAAGGCGGCCUACUGGGCACCAACUGACGCUGAGGCUCGAAAGUGUGGGUAGCAAACAGGAUUAGAUACCCUGGUAGUCCACACCGUAAACGGUGAUUACUAGGUGUUGGAGGAUUGACCCCUUCAGUGCCGCAGUUAACACAAUAAGUAAUCCACCUGGGGAGUACGACCGCAAGGUUGCAACUCAAAUGAAUUGACGGA